rnacentral:lncRNA from 1 species
ACGAAGUUAAAAAUAUGGACCCUGGGAUAGAAGAAAUGAAUACGAAGAAGGAGCCUCCAGGUCACAGCGGGACAUCACAAAAAAGAGAAGCAUCUCCUAUUCCCAGCUGUGAGUCUCUGAAGAGUAACUGGUCCAAGCUGGAUCCUCCAAACUUUAGCAUUGAGCCUGUGCCUUCAGAAACACUAAAAAAAGCAGCAUCUCCUGUUCCCAGCUGUGUGUCUCUGAAGAGUAACUGGUCCAAGCUGGAUCCUCCAGACUUUAGCAAUGAGCCUGGACCUCCAGAAACACAAGAGAGAAGACUGCUUGAAGAUGAUGAUUCAGAAGUGGUUCAUGAACUCUGUCCUUUAUGUAAGAACAAAGGGAGUGAUCCUGUCUGGACCAACUGUGGUCAUUGGUUCAAUAGACCUUAUGUCAUAAUAGUGCCAGUGUUCACUAGUGUUCACACUAGUGAUGGGUCGGUC